GUGCCCGUUUCAGCAGCACACAGACUAAAACUGGAACAACACAGAGAAGAUUAGCGUGACCGCUGCACACGGAUGCUCAAAGCAUGACUCAAAUAAGCUCCAUGCAUUA